rnacentral:rRNA from 1 species
CCUACGGGAGGCAGCAGUGGGGAAUAGUGCACAAUGGGGGAAACCCUGAUGCAGCAACGCCGCGUGAGUGAAGAAGUAACUCGGUAUGUAAAGCGCUAUCAGCAGGGAAGAAAAUGACGGUAACUGACUAAGAAGCCACGGCUAACUACGUGCAAGCAGCAGCGGUAAUACGUAGGGGGCAAGCGUUAGCCGGAUUUACUGGGUGUAAAGGGAGCGUAGACGGUGUGGCAAGUCUGAAGUGAAAGCCUGGGGCUCAACCCCGGGACUGCUUUGGAAACUGUCAUGCUGGAGUGCUGGAGAGGUAAGCGGAAUUCCUAGUGUAGCGGUGAAAUGCGUAGAUAUUAGGAGGAACACCAGUGGCGAAGGCGGCUUACUGGACAGUAACUGACGUUGAGGCUCGAAAGCGUGGGGAGCAAACAGGAUUAGAUACCCGGGUAGUC